UAGCACUCCAGACUCUGAAUCUGGCGAUCUGGGUUCAAAUCCCGGUAAAACCU
rnacentral:tRNA from 1 species